GUCUCUUGGAACUGCCGCGGCCGCCACCGCCGCUGCCGGCGCCGCUGCUGUAGGGGACCAGCGCGGGUGCGCAGACGAAAGGCGCUCUUUGCCAGCUGAAAGCUGAUAUGCAUUCAAGAUGGUUACCUUUCCCUGCUGACAGAAACUGGUGAAGUUCGUGAGGAUCUUAAACUGCCAGAAGGUGAACUAGGCAAAGAAAUAGAGGGAAAAUACAAUGCAGGUGAAGAUGUACAGGUGUCUGUCAUGUGUGCAAUGAGUGAAGAAUAUGCUGUAGCCAUAAAACCCUGCAAAUAAACGGAAACAUCAGGCAUGAACACUGUUUAUGUCUGAAUCAACUGCAGAUCUAAUUUGGUUCUAAGUUGUCACCAAAGCUAUAGCCUUCAUAAGCAACCUCAUUUCUUUUUUUAAUUGUUUUCAGAUUGUGCUGGGUUAGUUUUGCAAGCAAUUGAUAAUUUUUAAAAAAUUAUCAAUAUGUAUAAUUUUUUUUGAAUUUUGUAGAUAUGUUUCCUAUAAUAUUC
rnacentral:lncRNA from 1 species